ACACUGCUUGCAGUGCCUACUUUUCUGCUUUUACUUGCUUCUUUUAGAGUGGGUUAUGCACACUCUGAUAUUUCAUAAUUCAUGGAAGGCACAUAUGGGAAGUUAUCCUAACCUUGUGAUGUAUAACUCUCUCUCUCUCUCCACGUGCGCGUGUGUCCGCAUUCCACACACAUAGUGGAUUUAGGACUAGCCUGAGAUUCUGGAGCUUAGUUGCACUUCCUUUUUUAUUGAUGUUUUAUAGGAGUACCAAGAAACCAUCUUUUCCUUUUGUCUGUUAGCUUUUUCUUUUUGUACUUUUAUUUUCUAUGCUCUUCUGUCAUUCGUCUUGGCCUUCACUUUUAUGCUAGGAAGAGAUGGAAGAAUCGAAACCAAAGCAUGUAAAAAGAGAGAUGAACUUGUUAUAAACCUUCCCCAGUGUGCUUUUAGGGCUGCAGUUUGUACUAUUGUAAAUUGAAGUCAUGAUACUGGCUUCUCUGUGCGUCCUCCUCCCGCACACAUAUUUAAUUGAUUUAGGAAUUGCCUUGAUUUUUGGAGUUUCGUUGCAUAUCCUUUUGUUGAUCUUUUAGGAGUAUCAAGAACCAUCUUUUCCUAGUGUUUAUUUGUUUGUUUCCUUCCUUCACUGAGCCGAGGGUCGAUUGGAAACAACCUCUCUGCCCUUUCGGGUAGGGGUAAGACCCGUCUACAUAUUACCCUCCCCAGACUCCACUUUGUGGGACUAUGCUGGGUAGUUGUUGUUGUUGUUGUUGUUAUUUGUUUAUUUCCUCUGUUAGAUGCUUUUCUUUUUGUUUACUGCUUAGACAAGUGAGAGACAGAAAGUAUGUUUGAAAGCCAGCCAGUAUCCUAGUCUGUUGUAGCUCUUCCUUUGUUUGGACACACGGGUAGGGGGGUUUGAAGAGGAGAGGUAGGGGAGAGGAGUGUUCACGAGCAGUUAGCAUUUCUUGAAACAAGGUCAUUAAGUUGAGUGGUUCUCCCUGUCAAAGGGGGAAGUUUUUGGGGAAUUCAGUUCAGUUGAUGUUAAGAGUAUGUAAAUGUAAUUCAUGUUGGAUCACUUGUUUACACAUAAUGAUUUGGCUGUUGAGACUUGUGGCAGUGCCGGAUAGCAUCUUAUGUUCUUAGCUUGUGAGACUUUCCUAAUUGAUGUAUAAUGUUCUCAACAGAUUAACAGAUGCGAAGUUUCUCAACAGAUUAACAGAUAAGAAGUGUGUCAAAACCAUAAUUAGGUAGCUUAUGAGAUUUGAUGUUUACCAAACAUGGUAUACAUCAUUAUUGUGCUGUAGGGAAUGGAAAAUGAAAACUUCCUAUAUCCCUUAAGAUGUGAAUCGAAGCUUUACUUUCUCAUGAAAAUGGAAAAGAUUGCAGUUUGCCUUUACUUUUAUUCAUGAAAUAACUGCAGUGUUGCAACUUUAGUUUCUGAGAGCUUAGGCUUUGUGGAUGUUGUUUUUGGUUGUGUAUAUGUAUUCCUAAAUAUGGACAUAUAUACAUGUGUUUACUGGUUGGAAUAGUUAUCACUGGGGUUGGAGACUGAGUUCACAGUAAAUUAUAAAUUCUGGAAGCUUCGUCUGCCCUUGGCUCUUUGUUUGACGGAGUUAACUAUCCCUCUUAGUGCUGUUUGGUUAACUAUACUAUUUGCGUCCUUUUCCAGGUGAUUGAUAAAGUUCAGGAAGAAGCAAAAAGCCGUGCUGGUACUACUUUGUAAUUUUCAGAAAGUUUAUAACCACUUCUAUUUUAGCUGUUGAAUCAAUAUGGGGUUUGUUCAUUCGCUAGUUUAUCAACAUUCAACUUAAUUUUAGGUAUAUUAAUUGUUUCCUCCAACCAGAAGUUGUAGAACCAAUGCAUGUGUAUAAUGAAAAGAAUAUUUAAUUUUCAAUUCAAGUUUAGUUUGGUGGGAAUCAAAUUGAAAUAAUAUUUUAGAUGUUUUUCAAGAAAUGUUAAAAAGUAAAAAUAUGUGAUAAACCUAGGCCAAGACAAGACACCUUCCUUCACUCUGCAAUAGCCCGACGACUCUUCUACGCUGAGAAUGGUGUGGAAGAUUAUUAAUAACCUCAUGAUUAUUUAAGUUGUAUGAACAUUACUUGCAAAAAAAACGAAGAUAGUUAAUAAGGGAUGUUGGGGCUUUAUAAAGUAUAUAGAUUAUUAGGCUUUUGGCUCCUUCUCAUCUCGAUAAUAUAGAGCUUCCCACAUGUUAAUCUUGGCAUGGUAUGGUCACAUGCUGUGUUAUAUGGAUCCUCCAUUUACUUACGACAAUUGGUGUUGACACAACAGGACACAACACCAAUGCUACUGUGGUGGGGAAGGGUCAAGAAGUUCCUUUUGUCCAAUCUUAGUUUCUCAUUAAAAUUGUACUUGUGAACUGUGUUGAUCUUUUGGGCCAUAUUAUUGACCUGUCAUACUGGUGGAUAAAUAAAACUUUGGAUCACAUUAACAUGAUCUUUGAUGGAAUGUAGAUAUUGUGGAUCAUUAAUAUGUUUGGGGGGAUUUACUUAUUGCUUCAUCUUAUACUUGCAAGUCAUUAACUAACUUUGCGAAGUUGUUAGAUUAAGUAAACAGUGCAUGUGUUUUAAUAAUAACAUGCAUCUUUUAUUUUGCCUCUUUUUGGAGAACCUUAGACAAGAGGGGUUGCUCUGAUGGUAAGCAAUCCUCACUUCCAACCGAGAGGUUGUGAGUNNNNNNNNNNNNNNNNNNNNNNNNNNNNNNNNNNNNNNNNNNNNNNNNNNNNNNNNNNNNNNNNNNNNNNNNNNNNNNNNNNNNNNNNNNNNNNNNNNNNNNNNNNNNNNNNNNNNNNNNNNNNNNNNNNNNNNNNNNGGAAACAACCUCUCUACCCCAUGGUAGGGGUAAGGUCUGCGUACACACUACCCUCUCCGGACCCCACUAAGUGGGAUUAUACUGGGUUGUUGUUAUUUUUGGAGAACCUUCUACUAUGCAUGAACGUGCUCUUUCUCCAUGUUGGUUAAUUCCAUAAUAUAGUAUCUUGUUAAUUUCUUUUGAUUUACUCCAUAACCCUCUCUUGUUUGCCUUGGUGAUGGAUGCUCUUACCCGACAUAUUCAAGGGAAUGUGCCNNNN
rnacentral:lncRNA from 1 species